AGUGGGGGAUAACGUAGCGAAAGUUACGCUAAUACCGCAUAUUCUGUGAGCAGGAAAGCAGGGGAUCGCAAGACCUUGCGCUUUCGGAGCGGCCGAUGUCGGAUUAGCUAGUUGGUGAGGUAAAAGCUCACCAAGGCGACGAUCCGUAGCUGGUCUUAGAGGAUGAUCAGCCACACUGGGACUGAGACACGGCCCAGACUCCUACGGGAGGCAGCAGUGGGGAAUUUUGGACAAUGGGGGCAACCCUGAUCCAGCCAUGCCGCGUGAGUGAAGAAGGCCUUCGGGUUGUAAAGCUCUUUCGGACAGAAAGAAAUUGCCAUCUCUAAUACAGGUGGUGGAUGACGGUACUGUCAUAAGAAGCACCGGCUAACUACGUGCCAGCAGCCGCGGUAAUACGUAGGGUGCGAGCGUUAAUCGGAAUUACUGGGCGUAAAGCGUGCGCAGGCGGUUUUGAAAGACAGGCGUGAAAUCCCCGGGCUCAACCUGGGAACUGCGCUUGUGACUCCAAGACUAGAGUACGGCAGAGGGGGGUAGAAUUCCA
rnacentral:rRNA from 1 species